AUUGAACGCUGGCGGCAGGCCUAACACAUGCAAGUCGAGCGGAUGAAGGGAGCUUGCUCCUGGAUUCAGCGGCGGACGGGUGAGUAAUGCCUAGGAAUCUGCCUGGUAGUGGGGGAUAACGUCCGGAAACGGGCGCUAAUACCGCAUACGUCCUGAGGGUGAAAGUGGGGGAUCUUCGGACCUCACGCUAUCAGAUGAGCCUAGGUCGGAUUAGCUAGUUGGUGGGGUAAAGGCCUACCAAGGCGACGAUCCGUAACUGGUCUGAGAGGAUGAUCAGUCACACUGGAACUGAGACACGGUCCAGACUCCUACGGGAGGCAGCAGUGGGGAAUAUUGGACAAUGGGCGAAAGCCUGAUCCAGCCAUGCCGCGUGUGUGAAGAAGGUCUUCGGAUUGUAAAGCACUUUAAGUGGGGAGGAAGGGCAGUAAGUUAAUACCUUGCUGUUUUGACGUUACCAACAGAAUAAGCACCGGUUAACUUCGUG
rnacentral:rRNA from 1 species